AUAUGGUGCAAAUGUCAUCAUCUUUGAAGGAAUCAUGGCCUUUGCAUAUAAGGAUUUGCGAGAUUUGAUGGAUAUGAAGGUUUUUGUUGAUGCUGAUCCUGAUGUUCGCUUGGCAAGACGGCUGAAAAGAGACAUCUCUGAACGAGAAAGGGACCUUGUUGGUGUCUUGCAGCAAUACAACACUUUUGUGAAACCUGCCUUUGAUCAAUACAUAGCACCAACAGUUGUUUAUGCAGACAUUGUUGUCCCAAGAGGUGGUGAAAAUAAUGUUGCAAUUGAUCUGAUUGUGCGCCAUGUUAGAACACAGCUGGAACAGAGAGGAUUUAAUUUCAGAGCACAGCUUCGGUCGUUCCAUCAAGGACAGCCACUACCUAGUUCACUGAGUAUUUUAGAAAGUACACCACAAGUCAGAGGAUUACAUGCAAUUAUUAGGAAUGAGGAGGCCAGUCGAGAUGACUUUGUCUUUUAUUCCAAGAGGCUGAUGAGAAUUCUUAUUGAACAUGCACUUUCACUCUUACCAUUCAAAAAACAUGUGGUGACAACAAUGGAGGGCAAAAUUUAUGAAGGAAGAAAAUUUGCAGGGAAAAGGCUGUGUGGUGUAUCAAUACUGAGGGCGGGUGAAACCAUGGAGCCAGCUCUAGAGUCUUUGUGCAAAGAUGUCAGAAUAGGAAAGAUUCUCAUUCAGACCAAUGAAAUAACAUCAGAACCUGAGCUUCAUUAUCAUCGUCUUCCAAAGGGCAUUAGUGAAGAUCAUGUAAUACUUAUGGACGCUACUGUGGCAACUGGUGCAGCAGCACUCAUGGCUAUCCGAGUUUUAUUGGACCAUGAUGUUAAAGAGGAGAAUAUUUUGUUCUUGUCUUUGAUAACUGCUGAAUCAGGGGAAAAAGAGAUGUAACGAAAAACGGUCAUUCAAUAGAUCCGGGCAACGGAUUCUGAAAACUCUGUACAGCCUUUUGAAGCCAGGCCUGAACUGAAACAGGUAGAGAUCGUAGUUGGCCAAAUCGGAUAUGGAGUGUGUUCAAUUUUGGUCUAAUUUAGUUAGUGGUUCUGAGGGACUAGAUGACACUACCGUGCCAAAAAGUUGUCAUGUGGGUACCCCACCCGGGAACGUGAAGGGCAAACUAUCUGAAGGAUGCGAGGCUUAUUCAAUGACAGCGCUUAUUACAAAAAUGGACGAGACAGAGAAAUGCUUCUAGAAAUUUAACGGUGCAUUUUUGUUAUCGAAACGUCUACAGAAGUUAUCAAAGGUAUUUCUUAAUUUUCACGACGCUUCUCUUUCGAUACAUUUCAACUGCUUUACAUCAACAUCGAUGACACUGUCUCCUUAAUCUGAGUCUACGAGCUCCAUCGUAGGGGGGUUCGCGGUUUCUUCGUCUGGGUCUGUGCAUUCGAAAGGAUUUGCAUCUAGUUCCUUCAAGAUAUUCAACUGUGUCUGAAGCACUGCAGCUUGUAAAAUAAUUAUUCGAAUAAGUGCCGUACCGACGCUGCGGCGCUGAUUAAUCUUUUUGUCUCAAAUGCGGCGCUUAUUUGUGGGAAGCGCUUGUUCGAGUAAAUUUGGUAUUUGAAAAAAUUCAGUAAAAAACAGGCGAGAGUUUACGUGCUUUAUUGGGAUGUAAUGCUCCAAUAAGGGGUAGUGUUACCAAAUGACUGGCGAAGGGUUAGGGUCGCGUGAGGUGGACGAACACAGGCUACAACGGUACUGAUGAGUCAUCUGGUUUUUCAAAAUCCAGGUACUGGAGGGCACUUACCAUAUUUGCCUUAUUUCUAUACAGAAUAAUAGCCAGGGGGGGCAAAAGGGGACUGUUCUUGUGUCUUAGAAUAAGACGGUUAAACUGUUUUGUUGUAGGUGUCCAUACAAUAGCUUAUGCAUACCCGAAGGUCAAAAUAGUCACAGCAGCAGUUGACCCAGAAGUGAACGAUAAAUACCACGUCAUACCUGGAAUAGGGAAUUUUGGCGACCGUUAUUUUGGAACUGCGAACUGACAAGAAUCUUACGGUGUUGUCGUAAAGUACGUUCAUUUUUAUAAAAUGUUUCGUAGAGAGAAGCUUGUUUGUUAAAACAUUUAAUGGACCAUUUUUAUUAACAAAUAUGUAAAAUAUCACUAUUGUAUCAUUUAUUAUUGAAAAUUACACAUGAUAUUAAAAAGAACGCCAAACUGGUUAACUUUAGUAAUAAUAACAUCAUAAUUUUAACAAGCUCUUCUAGAGCGUCGAAAUGCACUCGUGUUUCAUAUCUUUGGGAUUGACGCUGACAUUCGCAAGAGUAUUUGUGAGGAUAUCUUAUUUAUUACCUUUUUUGAUUGUAAAAUGAACGAUUAUGUUAAUGAACUGAAGGCGAAAAAGGAUUAUUGUAAUUCAAGCAUUGAAGUAAAGUUGGCAACGUCUUGAA